CUUGGUCUCUGACAGCUGGGCUCACUGCUGCACCCUACUUGAGGAGACUUCUCAUGCUGUUGAGCAAGCAUCAGCAGAAUCGGCAGCCUUCCUCGUGUGAAGACCUACAAGGAGAAUGUGAGUCUACCUGUGCAAGUCCACCGGACAAGGCAACAGGCACUCCCACUUGGCCUAGGAAAGGGAGAAACCCAGACAACCUUCAUCCGCUGCGUCAAGCCACCACUUCAAACACUCUCUUCUCCUUCAGCCUGUGGAACUGCCAGUCUGCGGUCAAUAAAGCAGACUAUAUUCCAAAUUUCACCACCCAAAGGGGUCUCCAAGUGAUGGCUCUGACAGAGACAUGGAUUCAGCCAGAAAACACAGUAAAACCUGGGGGGUGGGGGACACAGGUUUGCUCAGGAUCUUCCUUGAUGCGCUGGAUGGACGGCUCUCUUCCCUUCAAGAUGAUAGCAGCCUACUUCUAAUUCUUAGGCCUGCACAUGAUAGACCCUCCUGGCCUUGGCUUUCCAAAGCACUCAGCAAUCAAUGGUCUGAGCUCAGGACUGCAAAAAGAAAUGAAGAAAGUCCAAAACUCAGACUGACAUGACUAAAUAUCAGUCCCUUCUUGCAUCCUUUUCUUCUGCCACUAUCAAUGCUAAGGUAAGGUUCUACCAGAUCAGAAUGAACAGCACCACUGACACACACUCUCUGUUCUCUGCUUUCACUUCCCUUCUUAACCCUCCUCCCCCAGCCUCCCUAUCUGCCAAAGACCUUGCCACCUUUUUCCAGGAUAGGGAGGCUGCCCUCAGCAGUCAAUUUUCAUCAUCUGCCGCCCAUUAUGCUUCCUUCCAAGCAACACCCACCAUUCUUAAUUUCCAACCUCCACUCCAAUCUCCCCACUACCUGUCCACUCAAUCCUAUUGCCUCACAUCUCCUUCAGGCCAUGCCCCCCUCAGUCUUUCCCGCAAUUACACACAUCAUUAAUACUUCACUCAGCUAUUGAACAGUUCCUAACAUUUUUAAACAUGCUCUGAUAACCCCACUUCUCAAAAAAACAACAACUACAGGCCUGACUCUCUAUUGCCCUUUCUUUCCAAAACACUU